CGGCUGUGUUCUCCACCUGCCCACGGGUCCUGGUAGGACCAUCUCUGUUCUGUCCACUCUAGGCCCGGUCUUGUCCCUGGUGGGAGGGCCAGGGACAGGAAGUCCAUGCCCUGGGCACCUUGUUCUGCCACAGCUGGCCAGGAAGGAGAAGGCAUCAGACACUGAGGACAGUGGCAUCCAGGAGCUUCUGCAGCUCUUGAGCCUGGAACCCCAGCAGGCUUCAGAGAAGGCUGGUCCUUCGAGAGUGUGCUGGCGUGGAGCUGGUGCGGAAGCACGUGGGCUGCCUCCUGGAGAUGCCCCACCAGUCCUCCGACCGAAGGGAGCACAUCCUUCAGAAGGAUUCCAACGUCCCGGUCACUCUCUCGUGGCAGCAGAUCAUACUA
rnacentral:lncRNA from 1 species